rnacentral:rRNA from 1 species
GAAUCUGCCCUCAGGAGGGGGAUAACGGUUGGAAACGACCGCUAAUACCCCAUAUGCCGAGAGGUGAAAUGAAUUUCGCCUGAGGAUGAGCCCGCGUCUGAUUAGCUUGUUGGUGAGGUAAUGGCUCACCAAGGCUUCGAUCAGUAGCUGGUCUGAGAGGAUGAUCAGCCACACUGGGACUGAGACACGGCCCAGACUCCUACGGGAGGCAGCAGUGGGGAAUUUUCCGCAAUGGGCGAAAGCCUGACGGAGCAACGCCGCGUGAGGGAUGAAGGCCUCUGGGCUGUAAACCUCUUUUCUCAAGGAAGAAGAUAUGACGGUACUUGAGGAAUAAGCCACGGCUAAUUCCGUGCCAGCAGCCGCGGUAAUACGGGAGUGGCAAGCGUUAUCCGGAAUUAUUGGGCGUAAAGCGUCCGCAGGCGGCCUUUCAAGUCUGCUGUAAAAACGUGGAGCUUAACUCCAUCAUCGCAGUGGAAACUGAAGGGCUCGAGUGUGGUAGGGGCAGAGGGAAUUCCCGGUGUAGCGGUGAAAUGCGUAGAUAUCGGGAAGAACACCAGUGGCGAAGGCGCUCUGCUGGGCCAUAACUGACGCUCAUGGACGAAAGCCAGGGGAGCGAAAGGGAUUAGAUACCCCUGUAGUCCUGGCCGUAAACGAUGAACACUAGGUGUCGGGGGAAUCGACCCCUUCGGUGUCGUAGCUAACGCGUUAAGUGUUCCGCCUGGGGAGUACGCACGCAAGUGUGAAACUCAAAGGAAUUGACGGGGGCCCGCACAAGCGGUGGAGUAUGUGGUUUAAUUCGAUGCAACGCGAAGAACCUUACCAGGAUUUGACAUCCUGCGAACCUCUUAGAAAUUUGAGGGUGCCUUCGGGAACGCAGUGACAGGUGGUGCAUGGCUGUCGUCAGCUCGUGUCGUGAGAUGUUGGGUUAAGUCCCGCAACGAGCGCAACCCACGUUUUUAGUUGCCAGCAUUUAGUUGGGCACUCUAGAAAGACCGCCGGUGAUAAACCGGAGGAAGGUGUGGAUGACGUCAAGUCAUCAUGCCCCUUACAUCCUGGGCUACACACGUACUACAAUGCUACGGACAAAGGGCAGCAAACUCGCGAGAGCAAGCAAAUCCCAUAAACCGUGGCUCAGUUCAGAUCGUAG